rnacentral:rRNA from 1 species
CUAAACCGUGGAAUUGCAUCUGAAACUGCGUAGCUAGAGUUCGGGAGAGGGCGGCGGAACUCCCGGUGUAGGGGUGAAAUCCGUAGAUAUCGGGGGGAACACCAGAGGCGAAGGCGGCCGCCUGGACCGAAACUGACGCUGAGGCGCGAAAGCGUGGGUAGCAAACAGGAUUAGAUACCCUGGUAGUCCACGCCGUAAACAUUGGGCGCUAGAUGCUGGGGGCGUUAGAGCCUUCGGUGUCGCAGCUAACGCGUUAAGCGCCCCGCCUGGGGAGUACGGUCGCAAGGCCGAAACUCAAAGGAAUUGACGGGGGCCCGCACAAGCGGUGGAGUAUGUGGUUUAAUUCGAUGCAACGCGAAGAACCUUACCUGGGCUUGACAUCCCGGGAGCCCCUUGGAAACAAGGGGGUGCCCUUCGGGGAACCC